GAUGAACGCUGGCGGCGUGCCUAAUACAUGCAAGUCGAGCGCAGCGGGGACGGGCGAGUAACACGUGGAUAACCGCAUAUAUGCCUGGGAUAACUUCGGGAAAACGGAGCUCAUCAGGAAUCUCAUAGAUGGAUCCUCGCUGCAUUAGCUAGUGGGUAAGGUAACGGAUUACAAAGGCAACGAUGCAUAGCCGACCUGAGAGGGUGAUCGGCCACACUGUAGCUGAGACACGGUCCAGACUCCUACGAGAGGCAGCAGUAGGGAAUCUUCCACAAUGGGCGAAAGCCUGAUGGAGCAACGCCGCGUGAGUGAUGAAGGUCUUCGGAUCGUAAAACGCUUUUAGUAAGGAAGCGGUACCUAAUCAGAAAGCCACGGCUAACUACGUGCCAGCAGCCGCGGUAAUAC
rnacentral:rRNA from 1 species